ACAGCAGUCGCCGCGGUAAUACGAAGGGGGCUAGCGUUGUUCGGAUUUACUGGGCGUAAAGGGUGCGUAGGCGGACUGAUAAGUCAGGGGUGAAAUCCCAAGGCUCAACCUUGGAACUGCCUUUGAUACUGUUAGUCUUGAGUUCGAGAGAGGUGAGUGGAACUGCGAGUGUAGAGGUGAAAUUCGUAGAUAUUCGCAAGAACACCAGUGGCGAAGGCGGCUCACUGGCUCGAAACUGACGCUGAGGCACGAAAGCGUGGGGAGCAAACAGGAUUAGAUACCCCCGUAGUCCCUGUCUCUUAUAC
rnacentral:rRNA from 1 species